CAAGUGAAGAGUUUGAUCCUGGCUCAGAUUGAACGCUGGCGGCGUGCCUAACACAUGCAAGUCGAGCGGUAACGCGGGAGCAAUCCUGGCGACGAGCGGCGAACGGGUGAGUAACGCUUCGGAAUCUACCCAGUAGUGGGGAAUAACCAACCGAAAGGUUGGCUAAUGCCGCAUACGACCUGAGGGUGAAAGCGGGGGAUCGCAAGACCUCGCGCUAUGAGAUGAGCCGAAGUCGGAUUAGCUAGUUGGUGAGGUAACGGCUCACCAAGGCGACAAUCCGUAGCUGGUCUGAGAGGACGACCAGCCACACUGGGACUGAGACACGGCCCAGACUCCUACGGGAGGCAGCAGUGGGGAAUUUUGGACAAUGGACGCAAGUCUGAUCCAGCCAUGCCGC
rnacentral:rRNA from 1 species